rnacentral:rRNA from 1 species
UACGGAGGGUGCAAGCGUUGUUCGGAAUUACUGGGCGUAAAGCGCACGUAGGCGGGUUCGCAAGUCGAUUGUGAAAUCCCCGGGCUCAAUCCGGGAAUUGCAGUCGAAACUGCAAGUCUUGAAUACCUGAGAGGGUGACGGAAUUCCUGGUGUAGAAGUGAAAUUCGUAGAUAUCAGGAGGAACACCGGAGGCGAAGGCGGUUGCCUGGCAGUGUAUUGACGCUGAGGUGCGAAAGCGUGGGGAGCAAACAGG